UACGAGGGGGGCAAGCGUUGUUCGGAAUUAUUGGGCGUAAAGGGCGCGUAGGCGGUGCGGUAAGUCACCUGUGAAAACUCUGGGCUCAACUCAGAGCCUGCAGGCGAAACUGCCGUGCUGGAGUGUGGGAGAGGUGCGUGGAAUUCCCGGUGUAGCGGUGAAAUGCGCAGAUAUCAGGAGGAACACCAAUAGCGAAGGCAGCUCGCUGGGACGGUACUGACGCUGAGGCGCGAAAGCGUGGGGGAGCAAACAGG
rnacentral:rRNA from 1 species